rnacentral:rRNA from 1 species
AUUGAACGCUGGCGGCAGGCCUAACACAUGCAAGUCGAGCGGAUGAAGGGAGCUUGCUCCUGGAUUCGGCGGCGGACGGGUGAGUAAUGCCUAGGAAUCUGCCUGGUAGUGGGGGAUAACGUCCGGAAACGGGCGCUAAUACCGCAUACGUCCUGAGGGAGAAAGUGGGGGAUCUUCGGACCUCACGCUAUCAGAUGAGCCUAGGUCGGAUUAGCUAGUUGGUGGGGUAAAGGCCUACCAAGGCGACGAUCCGUAACUGGUCUGAGAGGAUGAUCAGUCACACUGGAACUGAGACACGGUCCAGACUCCUACGGGAGGCAGCAGUGGGGAAUAUUGGACAAUGGGCGAAAGCCUGAUCCAGCCAUGCCGCGUGUGUGAAGAAGGUCUUCGGAUUGUAAAGCACUUUAAGUUGGGAGGAAGGGCAGUAAAUUAAUACCUUGCUGUUUUGACGUUACCAACAGAAUAAGCACCGGCUAACUUCGUG